rnacentral:rRNA from 1 species
UGUCCUACGGGGGGCAGCAGUGGGGAAUAUUGGGCAAUGGGCGCAAGCCUGACCCAGCAACGCCGCGUGAAGGAAGAAGGCUUUCGGGUUGUAAACUUCUUUUAUCAGGGACGAAGCAAGUGACGGUACCUGAUGAAUAAGCCACGGCUAACUACGUGCCAGCAGCCGCGGUAAUACGUAGGUGGCAAGCGUUAUCCGGAUUUACUGGGUGUAAAGGGCGUGUAGGCGGGAGUGCAAGUCAGAUGUGAAAACUAUGGGCGCAAACCAUAGCCUGCAUUUGAAACUGUACUUCUU